rnacentral:rRNA from 2 species
GACAGAGGGUGCAAACGUUGUUCGGAAUUACUGGGCGUAAAGCGUGUGUAGGCGGCUACGUAAGUCGGAUGUGAAAGCCCCAGGCUCAACCUGGGAAGUGCACUCGAUACUGCGUAGCUUGAGUAUCGGAGAGGUUGGUGGAAUUCUCGGUGUAGAGGUGAAAUUCGUAGAUAUCGAGAGGAACACCGGUGGCGAAGGCGGCCAACUGGACGAAUACUGACGCUGAGACACGAAAGCGUGGGGAGCAAACAGG